rnacentral:rRNA from 1 species
AUACUAGUCGACUGUACGUAGUCAGCUACGAUCUAGCUAGUCACUGACGUCGAGACUAGCUACUACGCUCGAUCGUACCUAGAGUAGUAUGAUCAGGACGUGAUGCAAUCAGAGACAUCAGCGUCUGACUACUACUAGACGAGCUAGACUAGAGCUAGAUCUGUAGUCAGCGCACGUAGUCUAGAUCGUCAUCACGAUCGUGCGUACUAGAUCAGUACGCUAGGAGUACGUCGAGCUAGCUCAUGAUGACUGUGCGCACAGCGCGAGCAUGCGAUGAUCGAUGCACGCGAGAUCUACUGGCUGACAUGAUCGUACGUCAGAGAUGACGCCUCUGUGGCGCUCACAGAUGGUGCAUGCUGUCGUCAGCUCGUGUCGUGAGAUGAUGGAUGAGUCAGCAACGAGCGCAGCGCUCGUCUACUGCGGUCAGCAUUUGAUGAGGACUCAGUCGAGACGCCGCGGUCAACUCGGAGGAAGGUGAAGAUGACGUCAAGUCAUCAUGCUCCUUAUGUCCAGGGUUCACGCAUGCUACAAUGGCCGGUACACAGAGUGGCGACAUCGUGAGGUGGAGCGAAUCUCAGAAAGCCGGUCUCAGUUCGGAUUGGGGUCUGCAACUCGACCCCAUGAAGUCGGAGUCGCUAGUAAUCGCAGUUCAACAUCGCUGCGGUGAAUACGUUUACGGCCUUGUACACGCCGCCCGUCAAGUACUUAGUCGUAUCGCCGAAACGGAUGAUCAACACGAAUGCGCCGUGUAGCCUCGUAAGAC